rnacentral:rRNA from 1 species
UACAGAGGGUGCGAGCGUUGUCCGGAAUCACUGGGCGUAAAGGGCGCGUAGGCGGCUUUUCAAGCGUGCGGUGAAAGCUCGGGGCUUAACUCCGAGUCUGCCGUGCGAACUGGGAGGCUUGAGUCUGGUAGAGGUCGAUGGAAUUCCGGGUGUAGCGGUGGAAUGCGUAGAUAUUCGGAGGAACACCAGUGGCGAAGGCGGCUCACUGGCUCGGUACUGACGCUGAGGUGCGAAAGCGUGGGGAGCAAACAGG